AACCCCGCGCUCCACUUACGUGACUCGCGCGCGACACGCGAGCAGGAGGUUGAGACGAAGACCCGCCGCCACCGGGGAUGGCCCAAGCGCCGCCGCGACCUAGGGAGCGAGGAUGAGGAGCUCGAGGAGGUGCGCCGCAUGCAGAGGAUUCCUGCAAGGAGGAGAACAUGGAGGUGGUGCCCGUAGUAGUAGGGGAACCGAUCAAGAGCACUGGCGAGGGGAAGAAAUAGAAGAAGCACUAUGCUUCCUUGGAGUACCACGUCAACAGCUUGGAGCUGCUUGCAUUGACCACAGAGGCACACCGGAGCAUCCGGCGAGGACCUGCACGCUUGAAACCGACGACGAGGCCAUGCCAUCUUUGCAUGCCCCGCCUUUUUACACGGUGACACAGUGUUACAUGGGCAAGUGGGGAAUUGCAUAUUGUGUCAAGGGUGGUCCAGAAAAAGAGCUAAAAGCAAUGCAGUACUUGGAGAGAAGAGAGUGUGAGUAUGACCAGAAGAUAUCCAUUGAUUUCUACAAGGAAGGAGAUCCCUUGAAACCAGCUGUGAUGGGCGUCUUAGUGUUCGUUUCCACUCCAGAUCCAAUUGGCAACAAGUACUAUCUUGGCCCUGCUCCUUUGCAGAAUAUGGCAAGGCCACGAAGAUGAUUCGAUCAUAGAGCUUGCAAACAAGGUGAGGAAGGUGCUCAACAGAACAAAGGAGACCAAAAUCACUGCGAUGCAGGGCGCGUGAACUCUUCUACUACCUCAAGGGUAAGCAGGUGGACUAUGGCGAGGAGCACAGCAAGGCUUGCGGCCACAACAGGUUUGGGAGAAUAUAUCACACAGGUCACUAUCCUGUUUGUUAUGAGCACAACCCAGUGCAUUUUGUGGGGCACUCUGCUGGCGCGCAGGUUGUGAGGGUGCUGCAUCAGAUGCUUGCCGACAAGGAGACCGUGGAGGUGGUUCUGGAGGGAGCAUCUUUAUAAGGGCUGCAUCGAUAAGCUAGAUGUGAUGAUGAGAAAUCACUUCGUAUGUCUCAAAUGAGCUUGGCGAAGAGAUUUGGCUAAUCCAGAUCUUUUGUUGCCUCCACUCUGAUGGAAUAUGGUUUUGGAUCCUGAAGGAGAAAGCGGGUCCUAAGGGAGGAAGCAGAGCAAUUGGAGCUCGAACUGGAGAUGCAUAGAGAGUUAAGGGAGUAGAUGCUGCAACUCUUGUGGCCUACGCUCGAGCUGAAGCCAGAUUAGUGAUGAGGGGGGCAGUUGUCCUUGCUGCUAAGCAUGCAAAAACAAUGGUCGGGAAGCCAUUGUUGUAUGGAAUAGGUACCCUGUUGGUCAUGUCGCUGAGGACACUGUAUGGAGUGGGUUGUGUUUUUGGCGCACGGUGGUUCCUCUACAUGACAAGCGUAUCUCCAUCGCUGCAAAUUGAGUUUGUAAGUGGUCCGAAACAACUAGGUAGCUACUAGCUAUUGAGUAUUUAGGAGUCAAUGCUUAAUGAUAUUUACUUAAUGCUUAAUUGCUUAUCGAAGUAAGAACCCUGUUUUUUGUAUUGACAUGGUGGUGCUCUUUAGGAGAGAAGCCAGGGGUAAAAAACAAUUAGUUCUGCAGAUUUUAUUUUAUUUCGAUCAGUUGUGAGAGUUUCUUACAAUUGGAUGACAUUGCUUUGUAGAAAGAAAAUACAAGGUAUUUUUUAGUAGGAAAGAGUUGCAUUUUCUGUGCUCA